UUCCUCAACUACGAAUAAUUAUUUGGUAGUUUCUAAAUAAUUAAUCUACCUAAACUAAUUCAAAGACUAAGAUAAGUUAAAUAACUAUUUAGUAGUUUCUACAUAAGACUUCCUAAAUAAUCAAGGCCCAACAUGCAUCAAUUAU